UACGAAGGGGGCUAGCGUUGCUCGGAAUCACUGGGCGUAAAGGGUGCGUAGGCGGGUCUUUAAGUCAGGGGUGAAAUCCUGGAGCUCAACUCCAGAACUGCCUUUGAUACUGAGGAUCUUGAGUUCGGGAGAGGUGAGUGGAACUGCGAGUGUAGAGGUGAAAUUCGUAGAUAUUCGCAAGAACACCAGUGGCGAAGGCGGCUCACUGGCCCGAUACUGACGCUGAGGCACGAAAGCGUGGGAGCAACAGGG
rnacentral:rRNA from 1 species